CAGGUGGAGUCUUGCUCUGUCGUCUAGGCUGGAGUGCAAUGGCGCGAUCUUGGCUCACUGCAACCUCAGCCUCCCAGUAGAGACAAGAUUUCACCAUGUUGGCCAGCUUGGUCUCGAACUCCUGACCUCAAGUGAUCCACCCGCCUCAGCCUCCCAAAGUGCUGGGAUUACAAUAGG